AUUGCUUGAAUGACUGGAGAUGAAUUACCAUAAAGGUAGAAUUCAUGCAAGUUAUGAUAAUGAUUGUUCCCAUGGUAAAAUAGAUUCAUACUCAAACCGCACGUUCUUUGGGACCCUUUUGAGAUUACAAUUAUGAAUCUUAGCAAUUUUUUUUUUCCAUAUAAUUGGAAGGAGCUUUCCUAAAGCUAUUUCUCGAAUAUUUGUAAUUGUAGAGGAUGGUGCCGG
rnacentral:lncRNA from 1 species